rnacentral:tRNA from 1 species
GGGGAAUUAGCUCAGUUGGCUAGAGCGCUACACUGGCAGUGUAGAGGUCACCGGUUCGAGCCCGGUAUUCUCCA